GACGAACGCUGGCGGCGUGCCUAAUACAUGCAAGUCGACCUUAGUGGCGAACGGGUGAGUAACCCGUGGGUAACCUGCCCAUCAGAAGGGGAUAACACCUGGAAUCCGGUGCUAAUACCGUAUACUGAUGGAUGGACCCGCGGUGCAUUUGCUAGUUGGUGUGGUAACGGCUCACCAAGGCCACGAUGCAUAGCGGGCCUGAGAGGGUGGUCGGCCGUCUUGUGACUGAGACACGGCCCAAACUCCGACGGUAGUAAGCAGUAGGGAAUCGUGGGCAAUGGACGAAAUUCUGACCGAGCAACGCCGCGUGAGUGAAGAAGGUUUUCGGAUCGUAAAACUCCGUUGUGAGAGAAGCGGUAUCUAACCAGAAAGCCACGGCUAACUACGUGCCAGCAGCCGCGGUAAUAC
rnacentral:rRNA from 1 species